GGUUGAUUAGUGUAGCGGUUAGCACGAGAGAUUCUGAUUCUCUAGUCCUGGGUUCGAACCCCAGAUCGACCU